GUGUCAGCCGCCGCGGUAAUACGGGGGGGGCGAGCGUUGCCCGGAAUCACUGGGCUUAAAGGGGGCGUAGGCGGUUUGGCAAGUCAAGUGUGAAAUUCCACGGCUCAACUGUGGAGCUGCGCUUGAAACUGCCAAACUUGAGGCCAGUAGAGGGAGACGGAUUUGCCGGUGUAGGGGUGAAAUCCGUAGAUAUCGGCAAGAACGCCGGUGGGGAAGCCGGUCUCCUGGGCUGAGCCUGACGCUGAGGCCCGAAAGCUAGGGGAGCGAACGGGAUUAGAUACCCCGGUAGUCCUAGCCGUAAACGAUGCUCACUAGGUGUGGGGCGCACAUGCGCUCUGUGCUGAAGCUAACGCGUUAAGUGAGCCGCCUGGGGAGUAUGCCCGCAAGGGUGAAACUUAAAGGAAUUGGCGGGG
rnacentral:rRNA from 1 species